UGGGGAAUAUUGCACAAUGGGGGAAACCCUGAUGCAGCGACGCCGCGUGAGCGAUGAAGGCUUUCGAGUCGUAAAGCUCUGUCCUAUGGGAAGAUAAUGACGGUACCAUAGAAGAAAGCCCCGGCUAAUUACGUGCCAGUAGCCGCGGUAAUACGUAAGGGGCGAGCGUUGUCCGGAAUUAUUGGGCGUAAAGAGUGCGUAGGCGGCAAAUUAAGUCAGAUGUGAAAACUAAGGGCUCAACCCAUAGAUUGCAUCUGAAACUGAUAUGCUUGAGUCAAGGAGAGGAAAGUGGAAUUCCUAGUGUAGCGGUGGAAUGCGUAGAUAUUAGGAGGAAUACCGGUGGCGAAGGCGACUUUCUGGACUUGAACUGACGCUGAGGCACGAAAGCGUGGGGAGCAAACAGG
rnacentral:rRNA from 1 species